UCCUGGUUCAAGUGCAGUGGUGUUUACAACUAAUUAAUCACAACCACUUACACUUUUCUUCAUUCAUUCUCCAUUCCCUGUGCUUCACUUGACUAGCUUAA
rnacentral:Y_RNA from 1 species